CAAAUUUAAAAUCUACCUGGGUUUYCAGGUCGAGUUGUAAUUUGAAGAUACGUUUUUGACGUUCCGGGUUGAACUAAAUCCUUUGGGAUAAGGUAUCAUGGAGGGUGAGAAUCCCGUAUAUACCAACCRUAGGGAUGUUAUUUAAUACSUUUCUAAGAGUCGAGUUGUUUGGGAAUGCAGCUCUAAAUGGGUGGUAAAUUUCACCUAAUGCUAAAUAUAAGCGAGAGACCGAUAGCGAACAAGUACMGUGAUGGAAAGAUGAAAAGAACUUUGAAAAGAGAGUUAAAUAGUACGUGAAAUUGUUGAAAGGGAAACGAUUGAAGUCAGUCAUGCCSGUGGGAAUCAACUUWGRGGAAACUCUGAGUGCACUUCUUCGCUUGGCAGGUCAACGUYGAUUUUGGAUGUCAUAAAAWGAUUGGGGGAAGGUAGCUCCUUCGGGAGUGUUAUAGCCCUUGGUAGAUGUGAUGUCUGGGAUCGAGGAUUGCAAUGGAUACCCUUUGGGGCUAGCCGCCUGAUCUCUAAUYGGUAUUGGGUUACGGAUAGCAUGCUGACCGUGAUCUAAUUAUUGGUUAAAAGGUUAG
rnacentral:rRNA from 1 species